rnacentral:rRNA from 1 species
UGGGGAAUAUUGCACAAUGGGGGAAACCCUGAUGCAGCAACGCCGCGUGCGGGAUGACGGCCUUCGGGUUGUAAACCGCUUUCAGCCAUGACGAAGCUUUUGUGACGGUAGUGGCAGAAGAAGCACCGGCUAACUACGUGCCAGCAGCCGCGGUGAUACGUAGGGUGCGAGCGUUGUCCGGAAUUAUUGGGCGUAAAGAGCUUGUAGGCGGUUUGUCGCGUCGAAAGUGUAAACUCAGUGCUUAACGCUGAGCCUGCUUUGGAUACGGGCUGACUAGAGGAAGGUAGGGGAGAAUGGAAUUCCCGGUGGAGCGGUGGAAUGCGCAGAUAUCGGGAGGAGCACCAGUGGCGAAGGCGGUUCUCUGGACCUUUCCUGACGCUGAGAAGCGAAAGCGUGGGUAGCAAACAGG